AUUGAACGCUGGCGGCAUGCUUUACACAUGCAAGUCGAACGGUAACAGGCCGCAAGGUGCUGACGAGUGGCGAACGGGUGAGUAAUGCAUCGGAACGUGCCCAGUCGGGGGGGAUAACGCAGCGAAAGCUGCGCUAAUACCGCAUACGAUCUAUGGAUGAAAGCGGGGGACCGUAAGGCCUCGCGCGAUUGGAGCGGCCGAUGUCAGAUUAGGUAGUUGGUGGGGUAAAGGCUCACCAAGCCAACGAUCUGUAGCUGGUCUGAGAGGACGACCAGCCACACUGGGACUGAGACACGGCCCAGACUCCUACGGGAGGCAGCAGUGGGGAAUUUUGGACAAUGGGCGCAAGCCUGAUCCAGCAAUGCCGCGUGCAGGAAGAAGGCCUUCGGGUUGUAAACUGCUUUUGUACGGAACGAAAAGGCUCUGGUUAAUACCUGGGGCUCAUGACGGUACCGUAAGAAUAAGCACCGGCUAACUACGUGCCAGCAGCCGCAGUAACAC
rnacentral:rRNA from 1 species